rnacentral:rRNA from 1 species
UACGUAGGGUGCAAGCGUUGUCCGGAAUUAUUGGGCGUAAAGGGCUCGUAGGCGGUUUGUCGCGUCGGGAGUGAAAACUCAGGGCCCAACCCUGAGCGUGCUUCCGAUACGGGCAGACUAGAGGUAUGCAGGGGGGAACGGAAUUCCUGGUGUAGCGGUGGAAUGCGCAGAUAUCAGGAGGAACACCGGUGGCGAAGGCGGUUCUCUGGGCAUGACCUGACGCUGAGGAGCGAAAGCAUGGGGAGCGAACAGG